GAAUGAAGGAAGCAAGGUAAUGAGCAUAGAAAUUGAAUCGGGUCACUAGGCCUGCUCUCGCUGAUGCCUUCUGGGUGGCUUUGAUUUGGGGGCAUGGUUAUACGGCAUAACA